AAGAUGGUUGACCAUAGAACAUGCGCUGGCUCGGUGACGUAUGUAACAUGGUCCACGUCUU
rnacentral:miRNA from 1 species